UGGGGAAUCUUCCGCAAUGGACGAAAGUCUGACGGAGCAACGCCGCGUGAGUGAAGACGGCCUUCGGGUUGUAAAGCUCUGUGAUUCGGGACGAAAGGCCAUAUGUGAAUAAUAUAUGGAAAUGACGGUACCGAAAAAGCAAGCCACGGCUAACUACGUGCCAGCAGCCGCGGUAAUACGUAGGUGGCAAGCGUUGUCCGGAAUUAUUGGGCGUAAAGCGCGCGCAGGCGGUCACUUAAGUCCAUCUUAGAAGUGCGGGGCUUAACCCCGUGAUGGGAUGGAAACUGGGAGACUGGAGUAUCGGAGAGGAAAGUGGAAGUCCUAGUGUAGCGGUGAAAUGCGUAGAGAUUAGGAGGAACACCGGUGGCGAAAGCGGCUUUUUGGCCUGCAACUGACACUGAGGCGCGAAAGCGUGGGGAGCAAACAGG
rnacentral:rRNA from 1 species